rnacentral:rRNA from 1 species
UGAUCCAGCGACGCCGCGUGAAGGAAGAAGUCCUUCGGGAUGUAAACUUCUGAACUAAUCGGAUAAAAGGGUAGUGGACACACUACAGAAGAAGGUAGAUUAGGAAAAGUCCCGGCUAACUACGUGCCAGCAGCCGCGGUAAGACGUAGGGGGCGAGCGUUGCCCGGAAUCACUGGGUGUAAAGGGGACGUAGGCGGGUGAUCAAGUCAUCUGUGAAAAGAUUGCUCAACGAUUGGCUUGCGGAUGAAACUGAUCAUCUUGGGCGUAGCAGAGGUAGACGGAAUUACCUGAGUAGGGGUGAAAUCCGCAGAUACAGGUAAGAAGGCCGGUGAAGAAGUUGGUCUACUGGGCUACAGCUGACGCUGAGGUCCGAAAGCCAGGGGAGCGAACCGGAUUAGAUACCCGGGUAGUCCUGGCUGUAAACGAUGCUCACUAGGUGUAGGGAGCGAAAGACUCUCUGUGCUGAAGCGAACGCGAUAAGUGAGCCACCUGGGGAGUACGUCCGCAAGGAUGAAACUCAAAGGAAUGGACGGA